UAAUCUAUCCUUGAAUACCUUCAAGUAAACAUUAGAGUUAGAAAUUAAAUAUUGUUUCAAUAUAUAAUAUUGCGAUGGCGUCUUUCGUGUUACCUAUGUUUUUGUGUGUACUUGUUUUAAGUAUUGUUUCUGCUUUGCCGGCUGAUCAGAAACCUCUUGAUUGCCCGCAAAAUGAAGAAUACUAUAGAUGUUCACCGGCUAAAUGUUACAAGGUCUGCAGUGAUUUGAAGAACCCGCCUGGCUGUCCUGGGUUAUCUGGUGAUUGCUACCAGCCCUCUUGCGAAUGCAUUUCUGAUUACCUGAGGAACUCUGAAGGAAAAUGUGUCCCUUGGCAAGAAUGCUAGUUUUUAAUUUCUUCAUUGUUCGUAAGGACACCUAAGGACCAGAAGUUGAGCCUAAAAAUCUAUUUUGUUUUUAAAUAAAAAAAAAAUCACAAUUA